CUCAGGAGUAGGAGAAGAAGAAAAAAAAAAUCAAGCUUUUCCUUUUCUGAGCGGCUCAGUUUUCUCUGUGUUCUUCCCUCUGCACUCUCCAGGUAACAGGAGCAAUGUCGCGUGUGUAUGUGGGUAACUUGGAUCCACGAGUUACUGAGCGUGAACUCGAGGAUGAGUUUCGCGUUUAUGGAACCAUUCGGAAUGUAUGGGUUGCUCGAAGGCCACCUGGUUAUGCCUUCAUUGAUUUUGAUGAUCCGAGGGAUGCCCGAGAUGCCAUUCGUGAUUUAGAUGGCAAGAAUGGAUGGAGGGUGGAGCAGUCUCACAACCGCGGCGGUGGUGGGGGUCGUGGAGGCGGUGGCGGCGGCGGCCGUGGUCGUGGUGGUUCUGAUCUAAAGUGUUAUGAGUGUGGAGAACCUGGUCAUUUUGCACGUGAAUGCCGUUCUCGUGGUGGCUCUGGGAGGCGCCGCAGCCGCAGUCGCAGCCCGAGAUACAGAAGGAGCCCAAGCUAUGGACGGAGGAGUUACAGCCCCCGUGGAAAAUCUCCAAGGCGUCGCAGUCCUUCUCCUCUUGGCCGCAGGUCACCAGCUUACCGAGGACGCGAGGAGGCGCCUUAUGCUAAUGGAAAUGGUGUGAAAGACAGGCACAGAAGCCGGAGCUGAGAACUGGAGAACUGUUGGCAGGAUAACCAACUGUCGAAUCUGGAAGUGCUGGUUGCUGAGAAGAAAAGAAGACUGAAGGACAAUUACUAUCUGUGAAAUUCACUAAGGGAACAUGUUUUAUCUGGUUGAGACUCUCACCUCCAGAUGGAUUUGGAUAGCUUGCUACUUUUGAAUUGCUGUCAUGCUACUUGUGCGUUUGGGUAUGAAGCGUAGUUGUGUAUCUGCUAUAGUGUGUCGAGGUUCUGCUUCAUUGGUUAUCUGCUUCUCUACUCUCCUCUGUGGCAUCUUCAUUAGUAGCUCUGCCUGCUUUAUGGGAUCUUCGAUAUGUUUAACCCAACUGGCUUCUGCUUCACCUCUAGAUGCCUUAUGUUUGAAAACCUCUUCAGCUCCAGUGUGGCCUUCUUCGAACUUCACUGGCUUUUCUUUUCUUAAACUUAGAAUGGAUGAGGAGCUGCUCCAAACACACUACUACUUGGCAGGUACUCACUAUCUGUUCCAUGGUAGAAAUUAGGUGCAACCUUAGUUUCUCCCUUUUAAAAAGUCUAUCCUUUUUUAGUGCAUUUAUAUCCAUUAGGUUAAUAGCAGCGGUUUAUUAGUUUUCUUACAUUUGCAGGAUACUUCAGAUUAGUUAACGAUCUAUUUGCAUGGCCGUGUUAAAUUUGUUCUCGGGGAGGUUGGGGAGAGCUGAGUGAUGUUUAACAUUUGGGUAAACUCCUCGCUCUCACAGUCACUGUUCUGUUUUGUCUGGUGAUAGGAGUAGCAGUUGCUGCUACUUAUUUGCUGUCUGUUUUCGUGUGUUUUUUUUCAUGAUGAGAGCGAGUUUUGGAUCCUGCAAGUAAAAGCAAAACUUCGAUAUUGGGUUGCCGAAUAUAGAUUGUGCUUCUUUGUGGUCUCUGGUAAUAGUUAAGAGUCAAUGGCGGAGAACUCCAAGUACUUGGCUUUUUAUUUUUUGGUCUUGAACUUUGGAGAAGAUUAUCACCAUAGAUAAAUUUGUAGACUUCUAGUGUUUGCGCAAUAGAUAACCUUUUGAAUUCCAGCAACUGCUUUGGUUGAGGCCUUGUAAUAGAUUCCCACACAUUUUCACAUACUUUGUAAUGUUA